rnacentral:rRNA from 1 species
UGCGUAGGUGGUUUCGUGUGUCGGACGUGAAAGCCCAUGGCUCAACUGUGGAAUUGCACCCGAAACUGCGGAACUAGAGUGCAGGAAGGGAGAGCGGAAUUCUUGGUGUAGCGGUGAAAUGCGUUGAUAUCAAGAAGAACACCGGUGGCGAAGGCGGCUCUCUGGAAUGUUACUGACACUGAGGCACGAAAGCUGGGGAGCAAACA